rnacentral:rRNA from 1 species
UACGUAGGGCGCAAGCGUUGUCCGGAAUUAUUGGGCGUAAAGAGCUCGUAGGCGGUCUGUCACGUCUGCCGUGAAAACCCGAGGCUUAACCUCGUGGCUUGCGGUGGAUACGGGCAGACUAGAGGUAGGUAGGGGAGAAUGGAAUUCCCGGUGUAGCGGUGAAAUGCGCAGAUAUCGGGAGGAACACCGGUGGCGAAGGCAGCCCCCUGGGCUGAGAUUGACGCUCAGGCACGAAAGCGUGGGGAGCAAACAGG